rnacentral:rRNA from 1 species
GACGAACGCUGGCGGCGUGCCUAAUACAUGCAAGUCGAACGCAUUUUCUUUCACCGUAGCUUGCUACACCGAAAGAAAAUGAGUGGCGAACGGGUGAGUAACACGUGGGUAACCUGCCCAUCAGCGGGGGAUAACACUUGGAAACAGGUGCUAAUACCGCAUAAUUCCAUUUACCGCAUGGUAAAUGGAUGAAAGGCGCUUUUGCGUCACUGAUGGAUGGACCCGCGGUGCAUUAGCUAGUUGGUGGGGUAACGGCCUACCAAGGCUGCGAUGCAUAGCCGACCUGAGAGGGUGAUCGGCCACACUGGGACUGAGACACGGCCCAGACUCCUACGGGAGGCAGCAGUAGGGAAUCUUCGGCAAUGGACGCAAGUCUGACCGAGCAACGCCGCGUGAGUGAAGAAGGUUGUCGGAUCGUAAAACUCUGUUGUUAGAGAAGAACAAGGAUGAGAGUGGAAAGUUCAUCCCUUGACGGUAUCUAACCAGAAAGCCACGGCUAACUACGUG